rnacentral:rRNA from 1 species
UGAACGCUGGCGGCGUGCUUAACACAUGCAAGUCGAACGGUGAAGCAGGAGCUUGCUCCUGUGGAUCAGUGGCGAACGGGUGAGUAACACGUGAGCAAUCUGCCCUGGACUCUGGGAUAAGCGUUGGAAACGACGUCUAAUACCGGAUACGAGACGCGAAGGCAUCUUCAGCGUCUGGAAAGAACUUCGGUCCAGGAUGAGCUCGCGGCCUAUCAGGUAGUUGGUGAGGUAACGGCCCACCAAGCCUACGACGGGUAGCCGGCCUGAGAGGGUGACCGGCCACACUGGGACUGAGACACGGCCCAGACUCCUACGGGAGGCAGCAGUGGGGAAUAUUGCACAAUGGGCGCAAGCCUGAUGCAGCAACGCCGCGUGAGGGACGACGGCCUUCGGGUUGUAAACCUCUUUUAGCAGGGAAGAAGCGAAAGUGACGGUACCUGCAGAAAAAGCACCGGCUAACUACGU